AUACGGAGGGUGCAAGCGUUACUCGGAAUCACUGGGCGUAAAGCGCGCGCAGGCGGCUAUUUAAGUUGGAUGUGAAAGCCUACGGCUCAACCGUAGAACUGCAUCCAAAACUAUUUAGCUAGAGUGUGGGAGAGGAAGAUGGAAUUAGUUGUGUAGGGGUAAAAUCCGUAGAGAUAACUAGGAAUACCAAAAGCGAAGGCAAUCUUCUGGAACACUACUGACGCUGAGGUGCGAAAGCGUGGGUAGCAAACAGGAUUAGAAACCCUAGUAGUCC
rnacentral:rRNA from 1 species